GACGAACGCUGGCGGCGUGCUUAACACAUGCAAGUCGAACGGAAAGGCCCUGCUUUUGUGGGGUGCUCGAGUGGCGAACGGGUGAGUAACACGUGAGUAACCUGCCCUUGACUUUGGGAUAACUUCAGGAAACUGGGGCUAAUACCGGAUAGGAGCUCCUGCUGCAUGGUGGGGGUUGGAAAGUUUCGGCGGUUGGGGAUGGACUCGCGGCUUAUCAGCUUGUUGGUGGGGUAGUGGCUUACCAAGGCUUUGACGGGUAGCCGGCCUGAGAGGGUGACCGGCCACAUUGGGACUGAGAUACGGCCCAGACUCCUACGGGAGGCAGCAGUGGGGAAUAUGGCACAAGGGGCGGAAGCCUGAGGCAGCAACGCCGCGUGCGGGAGGACGGCCUUCGGGUUGUAAACCGCUUUCGCCUGUGACGAAGCGUGAGUGACGGUAAUGGGUAAAGAAGCACCGGCUAACUACGU
rnacentral:rRNA from 1 species